rnacentral:rRNA from 1 species
GAUGAACGCUAGCUGCAGGCUUAACACAUGCAAGUCGAGCGGAAACGGCAUCGUAGGCUUGCUUUUGAUGGGCGUCGACCGGCGUACGGGUGAGUAACGCGUAUCCGACCUGCCCAUCACUUGGGAAUAACCUUGCGAAAGUCAGACUAAUGCCCAAUGACAUCGCACGAAGGCAUACGAAUGGUCGGUAAGGUUUAUCGGUGCUGGCUGGGGAUGCGUGUGAUUGGCUUGUUGGCGGGGUGACGGCCAACCAUGGCCGCGAUAAGUAGGUGUUCUGGGAGGAAGGGCCCCCACAGGGGAACGGAGACACGGGCCAAAAGAUUAGGGGAGGCAGCAGUCAGGAAGAGUGGGCAAGGGGCGAGAGCCUGAGCCAGCCAAGUAGCGUGCAGGAGGACGGGCCUAGGGGUUGUACCCUGCUUUUAGAAGGGAAUAACGUGGGUCACGUGUGACUUUGUGAAGGUACCUUAUGAAUAAGGACCGGCUAAUUCCGUG